rnacentral:rRNA from 1 species
UGGGGAAUAUUGGACAAUGGGGGCAACCCUGAUCCAGCAAUGCCGCGUGUGUGAAGAAGGUCUUCGGAUUGUAAAGCACUUUCGACGGGGACGAUGAUGACGGUACCCGUAGAAGAAGCCCCGGCUAACUUCGUGCCAGCAGCCGCGGUAAUACGAAGGGGGCUAGCGUUGCUCGGAAUGACUGGGCGUAAAGGGCGUGUAGGCGGUUUACACAGUCAGAUGUGAAAUCCCCGGGCUUAACCUGGGAGCUGCAUUUGAUACGUGUAGACUAGAGUGUGAGAGAGGGUUGUGGAAUUCCCAGUGUAGAGGUGAAAUUCGUAGAUAUUGGGAAGAACACCGGUGGCGAAGGCGGCAACCUGGCUCAUGACUGACGCUGAGGCGCGAAAGCGUGGGGAGCAAACAGGAUUAGAUACCCUGGUAGUCCACGCUGUAAACGAUGUGUGCUAGAUGUUGGGUAACUUUGUUAUUCAGUGUCGCAGUUAACGCGUUAAGCACACCGCCUGGGGAGUAC